GAAAGGAAACAAGGCAGUAUCAUAAACUAUUGAAAAAAUCAAUCAUAAAAUCUUUAUAUAAUUUAAAGGUGCUAGAAAUAUACUAAGAAAGAAUUACUAAAACAAAUUUGAACAAAUUUAUACAAAAUAACAAACCCAUAAAUAAUGAUAAAAUAAGGCUAACAAACAAAACACAAUCUACAAAAAUAAUUACUUCAUCCAGGAAAAUAUCAAUUAUUUUGUAAUCAUAAAAUAGAGACUAAACAAAACUUAAAAAGAGAAAGAAGGAUAUAUAUAUUGGAGCUGGUUGUUUCUUGUGACCGAUUCCGCCGGAGAGUGUGGGUUUUGGUCGGAGUCGUGGUUGUUGUUAUUGUUGCUUCCUGGAGGAGCUCGUGGGUGGAGAUCUGGUUGUUACGAGGUCGCCGAUAACCUGCAAAACAAACAAAAAAUGAAAAAGGGGAAGGGUAAGGGGACUGGUUGCAUGGUCCGGUUCACCGGAGCUUAGAGCUUCUUGCCGGAGUUUGUUGAUUUUCUACCAGAUCUGGUCGUAUCCGAUCGUGAAAGAGACAAGUGAAAAUUGGGACUUUGUUGGUUGCUCGCUGUCAGAUCUUGGAGCCGUUUUUAGUGGCUAUUUUCAGGCAGGUUUGGGGGUUGUUCGGUUGUUAUUGGAGUUGGGGUUUUAAGUGGUGUUCUGGGCAAUGAGCUUUGAGCUCAAUUGUGUGGUGGUUACUUAUGGUUUCAUGGUUGUAGGUGGCUGGACAGUGGUGGCAUUUGGUGGCGUGGAGAAGGUGGUGGUUUGCUAUUGAUUUGGUGGCUGGAAUAGUGAAGGAAAUGAGAGAUGUUUGGCUGGAAAAAGGUGAUAAACGGAGGUGAGUUUUGGGUGGCGGCUAUGAGAGCAUAUAGGAGGAGAGAAAGAUUAGGGUUCUUCCCUUUAGAAAAAGUUCCUCCUAACCUAAAUAUUUU
rnacentral:lncRNA from 1 species